GGAUGUGAGGGCGAUCUGGCUGCAACGUCUGUCACCCCAUUGAUCGCCAGGGUUGAUUCGGCUGAUCUGGCAGGCUAGGCGGGUGUCCCCUUCCUCCCUCACUGCCCCAUGUGUGUUCCUCCUGAAGCUGUUGCUCUGUUGGACGACCUUCCGGAAGAGAGCAGGACUGGUCUUCGGUCAGGGGUAUAGGAGUAGCUGUGCUCCCUUGCUAGAACCUCCAAACAAGCUCAAGGCCUAUCUGUUUUCUAAUGAGAGACAGAAAAUGGGUGUGUCUAAAU
rnacentral:snRNA from 1 species